GAAAGGUCGGCGAGCGGGGCGACGGAGCGGGCGGGGCGGGGCCGGGCGACGGAGCGGGCGGGGCGAGACGGCAGGGCGAGCGGGACCGGCACCGGCUACUGGCGCGGGGGCGGCAAGGCGAACGUCACCGGCUACGGGGCGCCGGAGCGGGCGGGGCAGGCAGGGCGAGCGGCACCGGCUACGGGGCGGCGGAGCGGGCGGGGUGGGGUGGGCAGGGCGAGCGACACCGGCUACUGGUGCGGUGGUACCUGGCGCCGGUGAGCUACUCCUCCGGACCUGGAACCGCCGCCGCGUCGUCGUCCGGAACCCGCUACUCCUCCUCGUGCUGCCGCCGCCGCCUCUCGUCGUCGCCGUCCGGUUCCGCCGCGUCGUCGUCCGGAACCCGCGUCGCCUCCCUCCCGCUCCUCGUGCCGCCGCCGCCGUCGCCCCUUACCACAUGCCGCGGCGGUCCCGGCACGACUACUCAGGAGGAAGUUGGGGGACGAUGGGUACCGCAACAUCUAGUUUAGGAGCAACAAGUCUACUGAUUAGUUCUAGGACGUAGUAGCGGAGACAGAGGCGGAUCGACGGCGACAGGAGGAAGAGUACAGAAGGUCUUUCCCGUCGUCCCUCGUAGAGAAAGAGCACCGCCGCUGUUGGAAGCUCGGACAUAGACUUAAAAGAUACGUAAUAGACCUCGGGAACCCGCGCGGCGACAGUCGAGGUGGUGUGAGCUCGUGGGUCGGCCUCCAUGCGCGCGCCCGCAGCCGCGCCAAAGUCAACCCACGUAGCGAAACUCCCCUAACUUACCGAUAACCUGUCCGGACUGUCGUCGUCGUCCGAUAGCAAGAGUGCGGGCUCUUUGGGAUUGUUGGUCGGGGUAGAACGGGCGGAGGGAGCGGUGCAGUUUUAUUCGUACCCGGCGUUGGUGAGGAGCGGAUGCAUUUCGCACACGGUCUAGACUCGGUCACUUCCAACCUUGACGAGACAAUCUAGGAAUGGAAAGAAAACAUCGCUGUGACUUACCAAACCGACCAGGUGUCGUGCCAGAGUCCUCAUUACCUUACAAAUAACCGAACACCCCCGUACAAGUUCAUACGCUUUACUACUCGAGGAUGAAAAAUAAGGUCGAGAUACGGCAUCCCGUCUAUUUCUCACCUAUGGGUUGACGAGGCUACAUCCGGCGAGGCUUAGUUAGUAGGCUAUAUACCGCAGUGAACUUCCCAAACAGAUAUAAAUAGAAGUUCCGAUGUUGGACCUCAGAGUACCCCCACACUUCUACUAUGGAUUCAUUAGAUCCCGUAACGAAAAAAUCCCCAAGUGAAUACAUGUUCUUACCGUACAAGAAAGAACACAUUAUAUAACACCCAAAAAAAAAGACGAGUUGUGGUAGACCUGAUACAUAGUGACAUUGGACGAAAUACCAAACCUGGACUCGCAACCUCGUACCACGACCUGUCCCUUGUUCAGGGAUUCUGGCGAGAAACCUUAAGGUUAUAUGUACCUCUAUCUUCACUGUAAACUCCCGGUUGUUUAUACAACAUAGCACCUACAGGGGGAAAUGUAGUAACAAAAUACUUUACGUGAUUGCGAGGGCCUUCCAACAGGACUCAUAUAAACAUAUAAACAAUGUUGUUCAUACUAAACCAAACUUCAAUAGGUUACAACACACUACUUGGAACUACAAAUCAUACCUUAGUAAUCAUUCUCAAAUCAUUGGAGGACGAAAAACUCUACAAUGGAAACAUCGCUUC
rnacentral:rRNA from 1 species